rnacentral:tRNA from 15 species
CAACCUAGAGGACGUGGGUUCGAUUCCCCG